ensembl:misc_RNA 7SK 7SK RNA
GGAAGUGAGGGCCCUGUGGCUGUGGCAUUUUACCUGACUCAGCUCCAGAGUUGAUGUGGUUGAUCUGGUUAACUGGAUGGCCAUCCUUUUCAUCCCUCAUGGCUCCAUUUGCAACCCUCCUUAAGCAUCGAGCUCAGCUAAAGAGGGGCCACCUUCUCCGAAAAGAAGAGGACCUUCUGUCAAGGGUAUAAGAGCAGAUACACACUCCAUCUAGAACCUCCAAACAAGCUCUCAUAUGUAUGAACUGAAUUUUGAGAACGUAGGCAAUUGAUAGAUAAUAAUUGUGCAUAUAUAUGGGUCAUGAUGAUAGUUCAAUCGGUGUAU